rnacentral:rRNA from 1 species
GACGAACGCUGGCGGCGUGCUUAACACAUGCAAGUCGAACGGAGCGAAUGAAAGCUUGCUUUUAUAAGCUUAGUGGCAAACGGGUGAGUAACACGUAGACAACCUGCCGACAGGAUGGGGACAACAUUCCGAAAGGAAUGCUAAUACCGAAUGAAGUGCAGGGGAGGCAUCUCCCCUGCAUGAAAGAUGGCCUCUGAAUAAGCUAUCACCUGUUGAUGGGUCUGCGUCUGAUUAGCUGGUAGGUGAGGUAACGGCUCACCUAGGCGACGAUCAGUAGCCGGUCUGAGAGGAUGAACGGCCACAUUGGGACUGAGACACGGCCCAGACUCCUACGGGAGGCAGCAGUGGGGAAUCUUCCGCAAUGGGCGCAAGCCUGACGGAGCAACGCCGCGUGAGUGAAGAAGGUCUUCGGAUCGUAAAGCUCUGUUGAUGGGGACGAACGUGCCUAAUGCGAAUAGUUUUAGG